rnacentral:rRNA from 1 species
GAUGAACGCUAGCGGCAGGCUUAAUACAUGCAAGUCGAGGGGUAGCAAGAUUGUAGCAAUACAAUUGUUGACGACCGGCAAACGGGUGCGGAACACGUACACAACCUUCCUACAAGUGGGGAAUAGCCCAGAGAAAUUUGGAUUAAUACCCCGUAACAUAGCGAUGUGGCAUCACAUUGCUAUUAUAGCUUCGGCGCUUGUUGAUGGGUGUGCGGCUGAUUAGAUAGUUGGCGGGGUAACGGCCCACCAAGUCUACGAUCAGUAGCUGAUGUGAGAGCAUGAUCAGCCACACGGGCACUGAGACACGGGCCCGACUCCUACGGGAGGCAGCAGUAAGGAAUAUUGGACAAUGGACGCAAGUCUGAUCCAGCCAUGCCGCGUGAAGGAUUAAGGUCCUCUGGAUUGUAAACUUCUUUUAUAAGGGACGAAAAAAGGUCUUUCUAGAUCGUCUGACGGUACCUUAUGAAUAGGCACCGGCUGACUCCGUGCCAGCAGCCGCGGUAAAAC